GAUGAACGCUGGCGGCGUGCCUAAUACAUGCAAGUCGAGCGAACGGACGAGGAGCUUGCUUCUCUGACGUUAGCGGAGGACGGGUGAGUAACACGUGGAUAACCUACCUAUAAGACGGGGAUAAUUUCGGGAAACCGGAGCUAAUACCGGAUAAUAUUUUGAACCGCAGGGUUCAAAAGUGAAAGACGGUCUUGCUGUCACUAAUAGAUGGAUCCGCGCUGCAUUAGCUAGUUGGUAAGGUAACGGCUUACCAAGGCAACGAUGCAUAGCCGACCUGAGAGGGUGAUCGGCCACACUGGAACUGAGCCACGGUCCAGACUCCUACGGGAGGCAGCAGUAGGGAAUCUUCCGCAAUGGGCGAAAGCCUGACGGAGCAACGCCGCGUGAGUGAUGAAGGUCUUCGGAUCGUAAAACUCUGUUAUUAGGGAAGAACAUAUGUGUAAGUAACUGUGCACAUCUUGACGGUACCUAAUCAGAAAGCCACGGCUAACUACGUG
rnacentral:rRNA from 1 species